UACGUAGGGUGCGAGCGUUGUCCGGAAUUAUUGGGCGUAAAGAGCUCGUAGGCGGUUUGUCGCGUCGGCCGUGAAAUCUCCACGCUUAACGUGGAGCGUGCGGUCGAUACGGGCAGACUUGAGUUCGGUAGGGGAGACUGGAAUUCCUGGUGUAGCGGUGAAAUGCGCAGAUAUCAGGAGGAACACCCGUGGCGAAGGCGGUUCUCUGGGACGGUACUGACGCUGAGACGCGAAAGCGUGGGGAGCGAACAGG
rnacentral:rRNA from 1 species